UACGGAGGGUGCAAGCGUUGUCCGGAUUUAUUGGGUUUAAAGGGUGCGUAGGCGGUCUUUUAAGUCAGUGCUGAAAUACUCCAGCUUAACUGGAGGGGUGGCAUUGAUACUGGGAGACUUGAGUGUAGUCGAGGUAGGCGGAAUUUACGGUGUAGCGGUGAAAUUCGUAGAUAUUCGGAAGAACACCAGUGGCGAAGGCGGCUCACUGGCCCGGUACUGACGCUGAGGUGCGAAAGCGUGGGGAGCAAACAGG
rnacentral:rRNA from 1 species